GACGAACGCUGGCGGCGUGCUUAACACAUGCAGGUCGAACGGAAAGGCCCUGCUUUUGUGGGGUGCUCGAGUGGCGAACGGGUGAGUAACACGUGAGUAACCUGCCCUUGACUUUGGGAUAACUUCAGGCAACUGGGGCUAAUACCGGAUAGGAGCUCCUGCUGCAUGGUGGGGGUUGGAAAGUUUCGGCGGUUGGGGAUGGACUCGCGGCUUAUCAGCUUGUUGGUGGGGUAGUGGCUUACCAAGGCUUUGACGGGUAGCCGGCCUGAGAGGGUGACCGGCCACAUUGGGACUGAGAUACGGCCCAGACUCCUACGGGAGGCAGCAGUGGGGAAUAUUGCACAAUGGGCGGAAGCCUGAUGAAGCAACGCCGCGUGCGGGAUGACGGCCAUCGGGUUGUAAACCGCUUUCGCCUGUGACGAAGAGUGAGUGACGGUAAUGGAUAAAGAAGCACCGGCUAACUACGUG
rnacentral:rRNA from 1 species